UCCAUGUAAUUAGCCAUAAUGUAAAUUUAAAUCUAAUGUAAUUGAUGCUUCUCAUGUAAAUAUUCUUAUGUUUGUUUAAAUGUUGACGAAUCAGAAGCAUGUAAAUCUUAUAAAUAAUGUAAAAGUUGUUAAUGUAAAAUUUGAAAACAUGUAAAGUCAAACAAAGAGUGCUGCUGCGAAUGACAGCUGGCAAAACAAAAGUGUUUCAUUUGGUAGUUUAAUGCUGCGCGGCGCGGAGGCGUAAUCGUGAUGUUUGUUAAACAGAAUAAAUUAGUUCCGUUAUGCCAUAUUAUAACAGCAGGAUGAUACCAAGUACCGGGCAACCAAAAUGCAUAACGCAUAAUCCAUCAGAAUGCGCAGUGUUCAAUUAUAAUUACAAGUAAGUAUAGCAUUAUUGUAUUUGUCAUUUCACUCGCUUUUGUUAUUGAUUUUAAUCUUCAGCUAACUAUUAGUUUGCAGGGAGAUUCCUCAAAUAGUUACCUAAUUAACCGCUCGAACAGUAAUGUACGGAGUAUCUGCAGCGUUUCAUGAUCGUACACGUCAUCUUACGAAGCUGGCCGCUGACUGCUGGCUGGACUCGUCGUAGUUGCGGAACUUCCGCUCGGAGUUGUCGUGGCUGUUUGGGUCACCAAAACUACUGGCUCCGCCGCCCAGGUAAAAAUCUUCGCUCAACCUCGAGUGUCGAACGAUUCUAGAUCGGAAACUGGAGUUGAAAUCGGCAUCUUCACUGCUAGACGCUACCGGCGAGAGGUCAUGCCGCUGUGACACGGCCCGGCUAAGACUGAGCGGAUUACCGGGUCGACUGUAAUCAUUGUCGGGGUCCUGAAGAGCUCGUCAAUCCGUCCAUCGCCAAAAACGGAUUGGUAAAAAAAUCCUUCCCGAAUUUGCGAGUUAUCAACUUGUUUUUUUUUUUAAUUUCAGAGGUUUUGUUUACGAGGCACGCUAAAUUUUCUCUGUUGAUUUCUGUUGUUAUACGUUUUGUUCGGCUUGAAGUACACGUUUACAAGAAAAUACACUUCUUGAGCUCGACAUUUUAAACCCAUUUGACACCUAUUUUGGUAAUUCGGCAUGAACUGAAAAAAUUGCUUUAAAUGUGAAAAAUCGUACUUAGCAAGUUGUAAUUUUUGGUUACAGUAUAUUUUAAUCUGAAGAAAACAUUAUGCAUUCAUUUGUUAGUUUUAGAGAAGAGUAUAUAACGUUGCACCAUUUCGACCAAAAUUGUGCGGUAGAAUGUCAUUUCGACCAAUUUUCUAAUGCCCCUUUGAAGUGACAGUUCAUGUUGAGCUAGUUCGUUUAAACCAAAACAAACUAAUUUUUUUUUUCUUGCUUUGCAGCAAAGUGUUUUUCAUUCGUCACGUGUUUCGAUGUCGGUUCCGCGGUUGCAACCCGCGGUUGCUACCGGAAAUCUUCCCAGCUGCGAACCUGAGGAGUUCCUGCACAUUUUAUUAUGCUGGAAAUAUCCCGGUCGGAUCUGGUCAAGGCGAACACAAGUUUUAGCGUUUUUUAUUUUCCAGUCAUGGUUUUGGCACAGAUUUCCCAAUUUAACAGCACGCUACAUCUAAAACUUCGAAGGAUUCCUGCAGACGAUCCAAGAUCAGCCUAAGAUGCAAUCAACCACACUGGAGCUGGAGAGGCGGAAUACUUUCAACCAAGCAUUGAUCUGCCAUUCUUGUCUCUGGACCUGUCCUUCCAGCUGCUUCGAUGUCCGGACAAAGUGCUGCGAACCUGACGCGAAUCUGGAACGAUUUUAGUACGGCUAGAGGAAAAUGGUCAAGAGAUCGUGGCCAACAGAUCUUUUUGGUGGAAUUUUGUUUCUUUGGUAACAACAGUCGUGAGGAUAAGUUUAUCACCGUGUUGACAAAUAAAUCGAAGCAGAUACAGAA